rnacentral:rRNA from 1 species
GACGAACGCUGGCGGCGUGCUUAACACAUGCAAGUCGAACGGAAAGGCCCUGCUUUUGUGGGGUGCUCGAGUGGCGAACGGGUGAGUAACACGUGAGUAACCUGCCCUUGACUUUGGGAUAACUUCAGGAAACUGGGGCUAAUACCGGAUAGGAGCUCCUGAUGCAUGGGGGGGGUUGGAAAGUUUCGGCGGUUGGGGAUGGACUAGCGGCUUAUCAGCUUGUUGGUGGGGUAGUGGCUUACCAAGGCUUUGACGGGUAGCCGGCCUGAGAGGGUGAACGGCCACCUUGGUCCCGCGGUACGGCCCAGUCUGCUACGGGAGGCAGCAGUGGGGAGUAUUGCGCAAUGGGCGGAAGCCUGAUGCGGCAGCGCCGCGUUCGUGAUGCCGUCCUUCGGGUUGUGAACCGCUUUCUCCGGUGACGAAGCGUUAGUGACGGUAAUGGGUCAAGAAGCACCGGCUAACUACGUG